rnacentral:tRNA from 1 species
AAAUAAGAAACAAAUAAUUGUAGUUAGUUUCGACCUAAAACCUUGGCGUUAAAUCGCCCUUAUUUA